CAGGAUAUUGGCCCUGUUAAUGAGUCUGAUGUUUCUAGUAUCACAGGCACCGGAAAAUAUGCACAUUAUGCUGGAGCAUUAGAAUGCAACAGAAAGAGCCCUGGGCUUGGAGUAUGCAGAACUGGUUCUUGUUACAACUCCUCUUACUAGUGGGCUACUAUGGAACUAAAGUGGAGGGCUUUGAAAUUUCCUGCUUAAUUGGGCUGCAUGUCAUUGCUGUCCUUAGAAGUUGCUCUGGGAUGCAGGUGCUGGUUUCUUGGAUCUCCUUCGCUGGAAUUUUGCAUGUCUUGUUUUGUUGUUGUACCAGCUUUGUGGAUCAGCCAACAUCCUUGGCUUGCCCUGUGGGGAGUGGGGUGGGACACAUCUUGGAUUGCUCUAUUCCAGGAAUGUCCAACCUUUUGGCUUCCCUGGGCCACAUUGGAAGAAGAAUUGUCUUGGGCUACACAUAAAAUACACUAUCACUAAAAUAGCUGAUGAGCUAAAAAAAAAAAUCGCAAAAAUAUCUCAUAAUGUUUUAAGAAAGUUGAUGAAGUUGUAUUGGGCCACAUUCAAAGCUGUCCUGGGCCACAUGCAGGCUGAGGGCUGUGGGUUGAACAAACUUGCUCUAUUCCCUUUGCAGUAGA
rnacentral:antisense_RNA from 1 species